UACGAAGGGGGCUAGCGUUGCUCGGAAUCACUGGGCGUAAAGCGCACGUAGGCGGCUUGUUAAGUCAGGGGUGAAAUCCUGGAGCUCAACUCCAGAACUGCCUUUGAUACUGGGAGACUUGAGUCCGGGAGAGGUGAGUGGAACUGCGAGUGUAGAGGUGAAAUUCGUAGAUAUUCGCAAGAACACCAGUGGCGAAGGCGGCUCACUGGCCCGGUACUGACGCUGAGGUGCGAAAGCGUGGGGAGCAAACAGG
rnacentral:rRNA from 1 species